AUUGAACGCUGGCGGCAUGCCUUACACAUGCAAGUCGAACGGCAGCACGGGAGCAAUCCUGGUGGCGAGUGGCGAACGGGUGAGUAAUAUAUCGGAACGUGCCCAGUCGUGGGGAUAACGUAGCGAAAGCUACGCUAAUACCGCAUACGAUCUAUGGAUGAAAGCGGGGGAUCGCAAGACCUCGCGCGAUUGGAGCGGCCGAUAUCAGAUUAGGUAGUUGGCGAGGUAAAGGCUCACCAAGCCGACGAUCUGUAGCUGGUCUGGGAGGACGACCAGCCACACUGGGACUGAGACACGGCCCAGACUCCUACGGGAGGCAGCAGUGGGGAAUUUUGGGACAAUGGGCGCAAGCCUGAUCCAGCAAUGCCGCGUGCAGGAUGAAGGCCUUCGGUUGUAACUGCUUUGUACGGUACGAAACGGUGAGCGUCUAAUACAGUUUGCUAAUGACGGUACCGUAAGAAUAAG
rnacentral:rRNA from 1 species